UACGGUCAUAUAAUGUUCGAAAGCCAGUUCUCGUCCGAUCACCGAAGUUAAGCUACGUUCAGUCUGGUCAGUCACUAGAUGGGUGACUGCUUGGGAAUACCAAGUGCUGUA